rnacentral:rRNA from 1 species
AGAGUUUGAUCAUGGCUCAGGAUGAACGCUGGCGGCGUGCCUAAUACAUGCAAGUCGAGCGAACAGACGAGGAGCUUGCUCCUCUAACGUUAGCGGCGGACGGGUGAGUAACACGUGGAUAACCUACCUAUAAGACUGGGAUAACUUCGGGAAACCGGAGCUAAUACCGGAUAAUAUAUUGAACCGCAUGGUUCAAUAGUGAAAGACGGUUUUGCUGUCACUUAUAGAUGGAUCCGCGCCGCAUUAGCUAGUUGGUAAGGUAACAGCUUACCAAGGCAACGAUGCGUAGCCGACCUGAGAGGGUGAUCGGCCACACUGGAACUGAGACACGGUCCAGACUCCUACGGGAGGCAGCAGUAGGGAAUCUUCCGCAAUGGGCGAAAGCCUGACGGAGCAACGCCGCGUGAGUGAUGAAGGUCUUCGGAUCGUAAAACUCUGUUAUUAGGGAAGAACAAAUGUGUAAAGUAAACUAUGCACGUCUUGACGGUACCUAAUCAGAAAGCCACGGCUAACUACGUGCCAGCAGCCGCGGUAAUACGUAGGUGGCAAGCGUUAUCCGGAAUUAUUGGGCGUAAAGCGCGCGUAGGCGGUUUUUUAAGUCUGAUGUGAAAGCCCACGGCUCAACCGUGGAGGGUCAUUGGAAACUGGAAAACUUGAGUGCAGAAGAGGAAAGUGGAAUUCCAUGUGUAGCGGUGAAAUGCGCAGAGAUAUGGAGGAACACCAGUGGCGAAGGCGACUUUCUGGUCUGUAACUGACGCUGAUGUGCGAAAAGCGUGGGGGAUCAAMCAGGAUUAGAUACCCCUUGUGUAGUCCCACGCCGUUAAACGAUGAGUGCUAAGUGUUAGGGGGUUUCCGCCCCUUAGUGCUGCAGCUAACGCAUUAAGCACUCCGCCUGGGGAGUACGACCGCAAGGUUGAAACUCAAAGGAAUUGACGGGGGCCCGCACAAG